rnacentral:rRNA from 1 species
AACGAACGCUGGCGGCGUGCUUAACACAUGCAAGUCGAGCGGUAAGGCUCCUUCGGGAGUACACGAGCGGCGAAUGGGUGAGUAACACGUGAGCAAUCUGCCCUUCACUCUGGGAUGACCCCCGGAAACGGGAGCUAAUACCGGAUACGACCACUUCAGGCAUCUGAUGGUGGUGGAAAGUUCCGGCGGUGAAGGAUGAGCUCGCGGCCUAUCAGCUUGUUGGUGAGGUAAUGGCUCACCAAGGCUUCGACCGGUAGCCGGCCUGAGAGGGUGACCGGCCACACUGGGACUGAGACACGGCCCAGACUCCUACGGGAGGCAGCAGUGGGGAAUAUUGGACAAUGGGCGAAAGCCUGAUCCAGCAACGCCGCGUGAGGGAUGACGGCCUUCGGGUUGUAAACCUCUUUCAGCAGGGACGAAGCGAAAGUGACGGUACCUGCAGAAGAAGGACCGGCCAACUACGUGCCAGCAGCCGCGGUAAUAC